UAAAAUUGAAGUUCAUCAAUAUUCCUGCUACUACUUUGAGUGUUAGAAAAAGUUGAAAAAAUAUUAAAACUAUCAAUGCCUUCUUCAUCAUCUACAUUACUGCUACAUUGCAUAGCGGGAUUUACAUAUGUUGAAGCACGAGAAUUAUCACAUUGAAUUGCAUAAUAAUUAUAUAGAUGUUGUAAAUGUUCAUUUAGCUGGUUCAUAGAAUCAUAC
rnacentral:lncRNA from 1 species